rnacentral:lncRNA from 1 species
AGAGGCUAACCUAAGAAAAAAUUAAAAGUUAAGAGUUGAAAAGAUAUGACCAAUGGGAUACAAUCCAACAGACAUAUAAAAACCCAUUUUCCUUUGGACUUUAAUCAAGCAAUAAGCAAUGAGCAAUAUCCAAACAUCAUGAAGAUCAAGGCAUCCAAUAAAGAUAGCCAUAUCCAAGCCAGCACUCUAAUAUCUAGCAGUCUUAAGUGUCU